rnacentral:sRNA from 1 species
CCAAUAGCGUAUAUUAAAGUUGUUGCAGUUAAAAAGCUCGUAGUUGAACUUCGGGGUCUACCCAUUGGUCAGGCUUAAUUGUCUGCACUGGUGAGAUGGAUCUCUACCUUCUGAGGAACUUUCAUGCCAUUUAUUUAGUGUGAUGGGAAAUCAGGACUGUUACUUUGAAAAAAUUAGAGUGUUUAAAGCAGACUAUCGUCUGAAUACAUUAGCAUGGAAUAAUGAAAUAGGACGGACUGAUUCUAUUUCGUUGGUUUCUAGGAUCACCGUAAUGAUUAAUAGGGAUAGUUGGGGGCAUUAGUAUUCAAUUGUCAGAGGUGAAAUUCUUGGAUUUAUUGAAGACUAACUACUGCGAAAGCAUUUGCCAAGGAUGUUUUCAUUAAUCAAGAACGAAAGUUAGGGGAUCGAAGACGAUCAGAUACCGUCGUAGUCUUAACCAUAAACUAUGCCGACUAGGGAUCGGACGAAGUUAAUUUUAUAAUGACGCGUUCGGCACCUUACG